UACGAAGGGGGCUAGCGUUGCUCGGAAUCACUGGGCGUAAAGGGUGCGUAGGCGGGUCUUUAAGUCAGGGGUGAAAUCCUGGAGCUCAACUCCAGAACUGCCUUUGAUACUGAAGAUCUUGAGUUCGGGGAGAGGUGAGUGGAACUGCGAGUGUAGAGGUGAAAUUCGUAGAUAUUCGCAAGAACACCAGUGGCGAAGGCGGCUCACUGGCCCGAUACUGACGCUGAGGCACGAAAGCGUGGGGAGCAAACAGGG
rnacentral:rRNA from 1 species